rnacentral:lncRNA from 1 species
UCAAAGAACAUAUAUAGGGAAUUAAUUAAAUAAAAAGAUAAUUAUUUCAUUGAAUAGGGUUUCAUCCUUAACCUCAGUAUAAGAAAAUUAGCUAGACAUACUUGAAUUGGGAGCAACAAAAUAAAUAAAUUCAGCCAUGGGAAAGCCGAAUUGCUGCAGAUUUUCUUCUCUAUCUUGAAUCCUUGCGUCUGCAGUUCUCCCUUCUGGCGGCUCUCUUGCCUUUAUAUAAUGUUACUGACUUGCUUAAUCCUUAUUGGAUUCUAAUUGCAUUAAUUCUUCUCCACCGACUUAUAAAGCCCACUCACCAAGGCCUUUUAAAAUUAUUUCCUUACUAAACUUUGAAAGCAAAGCACACGUUUGACCACAAAAGCAAAAGGCCAAUUAAUGAUUUCUUCUUUUAAUGCCCAGCACAUGCAUUCCAAAUUGCCAAAUCUUUGCUUUCCAAAUGCAUGCCCACCGUUCAUCCUUUGAAGAGAUUGACUUCCAAUUUUGGUCUUCUUGACUUCCAUUAAUUCUUGGUUGCAUUUUUGUCUUCCAAUUUAAUCUUUAUUCCUUCUCAAUUUGAAGUGUUUUCAUACCCUUUUUAUCAACAAUCUCCAAUUAAUUCCCUAUUCAAUAAAACAAUUCAAUUAAUUAAAAAUAACAAAUAAAUAUAACUAGCAAUUAUAUUAUUAAGGAUAAAAUAUGUAUAUAAAUUAUGCUCAUCAAAUACCCCCAAACUUAGAUUUUGCUAGUCCUCGAGCAAAACUAAAAUUUAAAACAAAAACAAAAGUAACGAAACAAAAAGUAAAUCCUAACUAAACCACUUUCGCAGGUAAUCGCGAUUGCAUUUAGCGUAUGCAACAAGCCUUUAAACCCCUAGGCGGCCCUAGUGGACGAGUUAUAGUCUCGUGAGGGCUUCAGUGAUGAUACCCACAAACAUCAUCUUUAAAAAUAAAAUAAAUAAAGAGAAAAAAAAAUUAAAUAAAACAUGAAAAUUGGCUCAAAGAUUGCAUAAAUUAUAUAGCUCAAAGAAAAUUUCAAAUAUUGGCAAAGUUCUAACUUUAAUUCAAUAGUCAAUCCCAUCUCUCUUUCAAUUCUUGUAGUGUGUGUGUGAAAUCAAUUCAAUCAAAUCCAUUCCCAAAAUCCUCAAUAUCAACAGCCUUCGCCUCAAACAAAGAACAGAGUAGGUCAAACUAAUCUUAUCAUCUUGAUCUCCAAAAUUUUUUUUUCUCUCACAGGCUUUUAUGUGCAUUUUCUUUUGAUUUUUUUUUUCAGCACAUGCACUUGAUUUGAUUUUUUUUUUCUUCUUUUUUUUUUUCUCAACCAUAGUCAGGAGCUUUCACUCUACCCCUUAAGGUAGCCUUCUUCUCAUGGUAGAUUAUCCUCUACAUACUUGUGGUACAUAGGCCCAAAUUACUCAAGGAUAGCUUCACUCUUAAGGGUUAUAGGUAGCUAUUUCUGACUUCGGCGCCCGUGUAUACUAUUUUGUAUUGUGGAGAUAAGAAUCAAGACAAACAGUCAUUUACUCUAUCUAAAAUUCUCAACUCAGGCUGCGUCAAUCUCAAAUUUCAAGUCAAAAUUAUGAAAGAACUGAUAUUAGUGCUCAUGGUUUAAAGAAUCUCAAUUAAGAGGAACUAACACAAGAAUUAAGUAUAAACUAAGACAAUAUUCAACCCUUUUUAAAAACCAUAUUCAUUGUCAAUCAAAUUCUUAUCAUUGGCUCUUCACAUAAAAACAAAAAACAACACAAAUUUUUUUUUUUUUAACAAACAAAGCACACACUAUUCCCACCCCCAAACUUAUUCGGAACAUUGUCCUCAAUGUUUCACAAACAAAAGAUAUGCAAAUGAGAGAAGAAAAAAAUAAUAACAAAACAUAAAUAAUAAAAAGAAAGUUGGAAAGAACACACCUGGAUGGGCUGGGAAAGCUUAAAACAAAAUGACAACUAAAAGAAAACGUUAGAAGACAUAUAAAUAAUAAAAUAAAAUAAAAAAUCCUACUAACUAACUAAUUAAUGUAAACAACAAAUCAACCAGGAUCAAUAAGAAUUUGGUGAAAAGAAAAGCAAUUAUAUAGAAAAUGCCAGAAAACAUAAUUGACUAAGCACUGGAGCAUUUUAUCUAUAAAAGGAUGAUGGUAAUGAAACUCCUCAAUAUCGCACUGCCUUGAUCUCUUUUGUUCCAUGCUUUCCUGAGAGUUAUCUGAAGUAGUAUAAAAAUCUAAUAAUUUAAGCACUUUAGAGCUUACCACCUUUUUCAUGUUAGAAUGUGACCUAUGUUGUACUUUUUUAGGAAGUAACUCCAACUUGAAUGGUUCAAUUUUCUCUUCAGGAGGUAGUGGCUCAAUCUUUUCUUUCCACUUAAUUAGAUCUAUGAUAAGAGUCGAAUCAAGUAAAGCAUUAACUUCUUCAAUACCACUAUCAACAUCAACAGAGAAAUCAGAGUCAUUUGUGCAUGGUAUUAAUGGAUUGUCACAGUGGUUAGAAAUAAGUGAGUCAUCAAUUGAUGCUUCUAUCAUAUCUACUUCAACGACUUGAUCAUCUUCUUGUGCCUGCUUGGGAACAUUAAAAAUAUUUAAUUCCAUGGUCAUGUUACCAAAAGACAAUUGCAUGUUUCCAGUCCUGCAACUAAUAUGAGCAUCGGCUGUAGCUAAGAAAGGACGACCUAGAAUAACUGGGGUGUGUUUCUUAGGAUCCUGUACAUGCUGAGUAUCAAUAACGAUAAAAUCAACAGGAUAAUAAAAUUUAUCAAUCUGUAUCAACACAUCCUCUAUAAUACCACGAGGUAUUUUCAUUGACCUAUCAGCAAGUUGCAAAAUAAUAGGAGUUGAUUUUAACUCACCUAGUCCAAGUUGCAUGUAAACAGAAUAAGGCAAGAGAUUAACACUAGCGCCUAAAUCCAAUAAUGCUUUAUCAAAACAUUGGUUCCCUAUAACACAUGAGAUAGUAGGAGAACCAGGAUCCUUAAAUUUUGGAGGCAUUUUACAUUGAAGUAAAUUGCUAGUUUGUUCAGUUAAAAAUGCCUUUUUGGUGACAUGCAAAUUUCUCUUUUUAGUGCAUAAAUCUUUCAAAAACUUGGCAUAGGAAGGAACUUGCUUAAUAGCAUCGAGUAAAGGGAUGUUUAUACUUACCUGCUUGAAGAUUUCCAUAAUCUCACUUGUUGAAGUCCCUUUCUUUACCUUUGUUAACCUUUGAGGAAAAGGAGCCUUGGGAAUGUAAGCUGGCGGGCCACUUUCUUCAGGAUCAUUUGGUGAUGGGUCUUGUGAUGGAACUGGAUCUGAAGAAGUAAGCUCAGAUGUCUUCCUUGUUGGAACCUCCACCUUGUUGUCAAAUAAUUUUCCCCUUCUCAAGGUCAUAAUAGAUUUUGCUUCUUCAUGCUGAUGGCUUGAACUCGAUCCAACUUCAUGCACUCCUUUAGGAUUGGGAAUUGAUUGACUUGGGAAUUUUCCUUUUUCUCUCUCCGCUACAGUAGUUGCUAAUUGACCCAAUUGAUGUUCAAGCUUUAGAAUAGCUUGAGUGUUUGAUUGAAAAGCUUGUUGGGUUGACUGAAUGAAACUUUGAAGUGUAUCCUCUAAAGAAGGCUUUCUUUGUUGGGGUGCAACAAAUUGAGACAUAGGUUGUUGGGCAGGAGGAUAUACUUGGUUAGGAGGGACAAAUUGUUGAUUGGGCAUGUUAAAUUGUUGCCCUCCUUGGUUUGACAAAUGUUGAUUUUGUGUCUAAGAAAAAUUAGGGUGAUUCCUCCAAGUAGGAUUAUAUGUGGAUGAAUAUGGACUAUUGGAGGUUUUCUCAUAUGCUUGUAAGGCAUGUACCUGCUCAGAAUAAGCCUCUUGAUAGGCUGGUAAUGAUGGACAAUUCUGUGCUGUAUGAGACAAGUUAGAACAAAUAGCACAAACUUCAUUAGCUACACUAGGAUGAUGAUUCAUUGAUUGGUUCAGAGCUAAGGCAUCUACUUUCCUAGAAAGUGUAGCUAGAGUGGAUUUCACAUCAAAAUCAUCCUUAACUUCAUAUAACCCCUUUCUAGAAACUUGAGAUGAUUUUUCCCUUUGAUUUGAAAAAUCCCACUGUUGAGAAUUUUCAGAAAGUGAAUUAAAGAAAUCCCAUGCAGCCCCUUCAUGUAAGUUCAAAAAUCUCCCACCAUUCAUAGACUCUACCAUAUGACGAUUUGACAUGGUUAAACCGUUAUAAAAGCAUUGUAUAAGUCUCCAUUUUUCAAAACCAUGGUGGGGACACUUGAGGAGUAAAUCAUUGAAUCUUUCCCAACACUCGUAAAAUUGCUCACUCUCUCUUUGAUAAAAAUCACUUAUCUCUCUCCUAAGGGCAUUUGUUUUAGACAUAGGGAAAAACUUGGUGAGAAACUUAUUACUCAAUUCAUCCCAUGUACUAAUAGACCCAGCAGGAAGUGAAUUCAACCAAGCUUUUGCUUUGUCUUUUAAUGAGAAAGGGAACAUACGAAGCCUAAUUGACUCAUCAUUAAAAUUUUGAAAACGGAAUGUAGAGCAUAUGUCAAGAAAUUCCUUAAUGUGCAAAUAUGGAUCCUCUCUCUCUAACCCAUGGAAGGAUGGCAAAAGUUGAAUGACAGAGGGCUUAAGUUCAAAGUGUGUUGCUGUAGUUUGUGGCAACACAAUACAAGAUGGUUGGUUGGCUGCAAGUGGUGAAAAAUAUUCUCUAAGGGUUUUCUCUGCUUGCACUGGUGGGAGUAUUGGCAAUAGUCUAUUUGGGUCAUCCAUCACUUCUAAAGAACUAGUUUGACUACUAUCAAUUUUUGACUCUCUUUUAACCAAACGAUUUGUUGAAUCACGUUCCCAAACACUCAUAAACUAACUAGACAAGGAAAGAAAGAGAAAUAAAAUAAAAUAAACCAACAAAAAUGAGAAUAAACGAAAUUUAAAAAUAAAAGAAAUCAAACAACCAAACAAUGAAUUUAAAAUAAAAUAAAAUUAAAAUUAAAAUUAAAAGUUUUUUUUUUGUGUUUUUUUUUUUAAAAAAAAAAAUUGAAUAAAUAAAAUAAAAGACAACCUAAAUUAUAACUAGUGGAAGAAUCAAAUUAACCUAGAUUAAACUGACUUUCUAGCACAAUCCCCGGCAACGGCGCCAAAAACUUGUUGUGAAAAUUUUAAUAUACUCGCAAGCGCACGAAUCUAGAAAUAGAGUAGUGGUAACGAGGUCGAUCCCACAGGGAUUGAUAAAAAGUCUAAUUUAAAUCUUAAAUUAAUAUUAAUCCUAACCUAGUUGAGCAAAUUGAGUUUUAAAAGAAAUUAAACUAAGAAAACAAUUAAAGUAAAAGAGAAUUCAAUAAGAUAGAAAUUACCAAGGUUUCAGAAUCCACCACUAUUCAACUAGUAAUUAUCUAAUUAUUAAUUAAUCCCCAAUUUUAGAGUGACAACUCGAAAUCAAUCUAUGUCAUCUCAUAGAUAUAACAAUUAAGCCCAAGUAAUUAAAUCUAAUGUAGGUUCUUUUUCUGCUUAAUAAUAUGACAUCUAAGCAUCCCAUGUAAACAUAUUGAAUAACAAAGAGUCAAAGUUUUCCUAAGCACUCUAUGUAAACAAUUUAAUGAAAGACAUAAAAUCAAAGAUAAUCAUGUAUAAACUUUAUAGAUCCAAGCAUAGAAUUAAUCGAAUAUUAAUCCUAACAAUCAAUAAUGCAUGACAGAAUUGAUGAAAAGAUUUUAUUAACAUCCAAUUAAUCAUGUGAAAUAAAAACCAUAAUUAUCAAAGAACAUAUAUAGGGAAUUAAUUAAAUAAAAAGAUAAUUAUUUCAUUGAAUAGGGUUUCAUCCUUAACCUCAGUAUAAGAAAAUUAGCUAGACAUACUUGAAUUGGGAGCAACAAAAUAAAUAAAUUCAGCCAUGGGAAAGCCGAAUUGCUGCAGAUUUUCUUCUCUAUCUUGAAUCCUUGCGUCUGCAGUUCUCCC